rnacentral:lncRNA from 1 species
UGAGUACCGUGUCUACACGCAGGAGCUGCUGCAGGUUGGCGAUCGGGUGUCUGUGAUUCUCCUGCUGCCGCCCUGUGAGGAGUUCAGAUCCCGUCAGCGUCCAGCAGCGGGAGCUCAGCACACCUUCACCGUCCCGAUGCACUACUUUGAGCUCGUGCACUUGUGGGCGUAUGAGCGGGAUCUGCUGUCUCAGUACUGUCAGCUGUGGCUCAGACUGGAGCUGGACGUCCGUCUUUCCCAGCAGGCUUUGAGAGAAGCACUGGACACUGAAGAGCUGCAGGAGGCUACGGAGAGACUCGCACACAUCACACAGCUGGCACAGAGUCUGUCUGCGCUUUGGAGCGAGAGCCGCUGGCUGAUGGACGUCAUUCAGACGCUGCGCUCCAAACACUCGGAGGGGGCGGUGCCUCUGGGGCGAGUCAUGACCUCACAACCGCCAAUCAGAUCAGCCGCCGAUGAGGACACGCCCCCUGCUUUACAUACGGUAGAACAGAUGCAAACAGCAGAGGUCAUGGGGUCAGAGGUCAGCGCACCUUUGGAGGUCACAGAUGGGGUCACGUGUCCGGAGACGCCCACCUCACACUACAUCGAUGAGCCCCGUUCCCAUGGAAACAGCACUCGUCGCCAUGGAAACAGCCUCCGGCAGAUGCACUCAUGUCCUGAACUCAGUGAUCCGGCUGCCUCACAUCCCAUAAUGCCUGCGGACGAAGGUCAGGAGCUGCUGACGGAGAUGAUGGACCUGUUCCAGAGCCUGGAUCUGCUGGGAGGCAGUCUGACAGACCUGCAGGAGCUGGACUGGAGCGAUCCAGAACCGGAUCUGCAGGACCAGGAUGACAGGAUGGAAG